AAUAGAUACCCAGGUAGUCCACGCCGUAAACGAUGAGUGCUAAGUGUUAGGGGGUUUCCGCCCCUUAGUGCUGCAGCUAACGCAUUAAGCACUCCGCCUGGGGAGUACGGUCGCAAGACUGAAACUCAAAGGAAUUGACGGGGGCCCGCACAAGCGGUGGAGCAUGUGGUUUAAUUCGAAGCAACGCGAAGAACCUUACCAGGUCUUGACAUCCCAUUGACCGCUAUGGAGACAUAGCUUUCCCUUCGGGGACAGUGGUGACAGGUGGUGCAUGGUUGUCGUCAGCUCGUGUCGUGAGAUGUUGGGUUAAGUCCCGCAACGAGCGCAACCCUUGUUCUUAGUUGCCAUCAUUUAGUUGGGCACUCUAAGGAGACUGCCGGUGACAAACCGGAGGAAGGUGGGGAUGACGUCAAAUCAUCAUGCCCCUUAUGACCUGGGCUACACACGUGCUACAAUGGACGGUACAAACGGUUGCCAACCCGCGAGGGGGAGCUAAUCCGAUAAAACCGUUCUCAGUUCGGAUUGUAGGCUGCAACUCGCCUA
rnacentral:rRNA from 1 species